CAAAUCUUUUCCAAAUAUUAAUUGCCUGAUAUGCCAAAAGAACCUUUAACCAAAAUGAAAUCAAGAAUUAAAACAACUAGAAUACAUUACAUCAAACUCCAUCCUGUAACUCUAUCCAUGCAGUUUUUCUUGGCAACUUUAUGGAAGUGAUCUACCAUUUCUUCUUCUAAGAAUUUUUAAAAAAUUGUCAAUCUUGCCAUCAGCUGUGAAAUAAUCAUAGAGCACCCAUCCACAUAUUAAGAGUCAACUCUGCUUAGCUUCCAAGAUCAUCAAGGACAGCUAGAUUGCUGCCAUUCACUGAGAUAAUUCAAAAAGCAUCAUUUAACUAAGUGACUUCCUCCAAAGCAUACAACUUGUAAUGUGGCUUCCAAUGAAACAUCCUAAGUAUGUUUUAUCAUUAAAAUGACUACUACAAUGUAUACUUUGAAUUUAUUCCAUAAAAUGUAUUGAGAAAAAAUUGUAUUAAAUAUAAAAUUAAAAAGAAUGAAUACAAGUGUAAGAGCUGAGCAGUUUUCUGAAUUCAAAAGAAAAAAUGCAAUUCAGGGUAUCCAUUAAUUCACAUGUAGCAGAAACAUUUUAAACCCAUGUCUUUUCCUGGGUUUGUCUGUAGCUGAAGAAAGCAAUUGCAUGAGCCCAGGAAAAGACAUAGCUGCCUUAAGGUGUUCCCAAUAGCUGCUUCUUGCACGCCCAUUUGUAUGCACUGAGACACAUCGUACAUUUUGAAUCCAGAUCUAUGCAGAGCCUAGCAAAAAUUAUAAUAUGGUUAAUGUACAGCAGUUUGAUAUAGUAUUAAGGUGCUGGCCUAGAAAUGAAGAGACAGUGAGUUCUAAUCCUGCCUUAGGCAUGAAGCUGGGUGUCCUUGGGCCAGUCAUUUAUUUUCAUCCCAACACAUCUCAAAGGGUUAUUGUUGCUGGGGAAAAUAAGAGGAAGGAAUAUUAUGCAUGUUCACCACCUUGAGUUUCUUAUAAAGUAAUAAAGGUAAGAUAAAAAUCAAAUAAACAUAAACAUAUCUUUAUAUAAUGUGAUUAUACUAAUAAAGCUAUAUUACAUACCAAGGUUAAUUUAUAUUAUAAAAAGUGGUGCACAACUAAACUGCAGUAACUAACUUACUGCAGUAAGCUUUCUAUUUGAGGGGAAUACAGCCUCCAUCAACAUCCAAAUAUGGCCAAGGAGUUUGAGAACUGUGGUCCAAAACAUCUGAUGGGUAUCAUUUAUUGACUUCCUGGUAUAAUACACUGAAGAUUUUACAAAUGUCUCAAAGUACAAAUAUAUUGCUUCCUUAGUUAAUAUAAAAUAAAAAAUAUUGUAACCUAAAAAUAUUAACAUAAAAUAUAUAUAAUUAUUUUAUUUGGUUUUCAGUUAAUAUAUGCAAACUAUAGUUUUGGAUUUUCAAAAAUCAGAAAGCUGAUAUUGAAGUUACACUGUUUUACUAUUUUAUGUUUCUAAAAUUCUAAUUAUACUACUUUUACAAAUGACUAUUACUUUCACAUGAGUAUAUCAUUUUCAUAUUAGCAAUAUCUAAAUUUAAAAUUAUAGCCCACAUAUAAUCAUUUUUCUUUCCAAGUGACAACACAGCAUGAAGUACAUUUAGCAAGUAUGUAAGCUAGGCAUAGAAAGAAUCGAUAGAUUGGAAUUUUGAUAAGCAAGAAACAAUUUUCUACAUUAAUACAAAACCACAAGUAAGUUAAUAUAUCAAUAGAAUAGUCUAGUUUAAUUUUAGUAUUUAAGACUCUUUUCAUACUUUAAAGUUGCACACUGGAAUCCCUAUAUAACAUGUACUACCACUAUUCCUUUCUAUUUUUCUGAAUGGCAUUCUGAAGCUCAGCUUCUAGCUCAAUACAUUUUUUUCCUUUGAGAAAGGGGAAAAGUCAGUUUUACAUGAGGUAUUCAGGUAGACUAUCAUAUUUUCCUCUUCCCAAAGGUUUACUUCAGAAUUGUAAAACAAAACUGCAAAUGAUUUAUCAACGUUUUACUAUGCUACAUUACCCAUACCGGUGCGGAAGUGGCUGCUCUGAGAUUGUGAUAUUGCCCUAUCAAAUCCUUACAGAGGUAACUCAAUAUAUAGAUAUGCAUGUUUUGAACAGGUAAAGUAAUAUAACUCUAGUUUCAUUUUUAUCCCUCAGAGUAGCUACAGAAAACAUGCUUUAAGGUAAAGGGUGGCUUUUCAAUUUUUUAAAAAAACAUAACAUUUCAUCGAUUUUAAUUUCACUCUGGAAAAAUACAUUCAGUUUUUACAUUAUAAACCAUUUCCAAAAGCCUUUGCUACUUAUUUUCCAAAUAUCUUUUUAUCUCUGCAACUAAGUAAUUCAAUUGGGGGACCCCAGCAUGCCUUCAGACAACCUAAUUUUUUUGUCGUUUCUUCACUCCCUCUAAAGAAUAACGUAAUCCUUGCUGCUGCUGCUCCGGUUAAUAUAAUAGGACGCAAGGCAACACCGCACGCUUCAAGACAGCCAUUGGGUUUUCGAAACGCGUCUAAUUUUCGGAAAGAGAUUUCCUUACCUUCAUAUAUAACAAGCCUCGUCCUUCCAGAGAACGGCAACGAAGCAACAAACCAACUCGAAAGGCGAAAGGACGCGCCUUCUUUCGCUGGGCCUGGUUGCUUUUGGUUUAUAUGUCUGCCGCGGAGAUUGGAUGUUGCUUACCUGAAGCCCCGCCUUUUCCUUUUCUCGACCCGGCUCAUUGGUUGGCCAGCAUGUCUUUUAUUGUCUGAAGAACUUUUAAGAUUAAUGGAUAAACAAUUUAAAAGCAGCCAUGGAAGAUUAUUUCAAUAUAUGAUUACUGCAGCGAGAUUAUUACAGGCAUAGAAAUGGAAAGAUCCGACUCUACCCGCUGGUUGCUGAAGUUUCAAGGUUUUUUUUGAAAGGAAUAAAUUCUUCGAUUAAAGAUAUCAUCUACGUUUAUUGAUGACUAGAAACCUCUUACAGACUUUUUGCAUGAAAAUGAAAAAAAGGAACUUGUGAUGCAUGGUUUUGAUGAUUAGACAGUUUAGAAGAUUAUAAAAAUAAAAAUUACACAAUGUAAGUUGGGAGAGAGAAAUUGAAAUACAGAUAGUCCUCGACUUAAAAAUACAACUGAGUCCAAAAUUUUAUGUUGCUAAGUGAGACAUUUGUUAAAUGAGUUUUGCCUCAUUUUAUAACCUUUCUUGUUACAGUUGUUAAGUGAAUCAUUUCAGUUAUUAAAUUAGUAAUAAGGUUAUUAUGUGGAUCUGGCUUCCAUAUUGACUUGACUUGUCAGAAGUUUUCAAAAGCUGAUCACAUGACCCCAGAAAAUGGCGACUGUCAUAAAUAUGAACCAGUUGCCAAGCAUCCAAAUUUUGAUCCUAUGACCAUGGGGAUGCUGCAAUGGUUGUAAGUGUGAAAAACAGUCAUAAGCCACUUUUUUCAGUGCCAUUGUAACUUUGAACGAUCACUAAGUGAACUGUUGUAAAUCAAAGACUACCUGUAUAUUUGUAUAAUCUGCUGUGAAGAUUAUAGGAAGCCACUUCUUUACAUCUGACUUUCUUUUCUAUUUCUUCAGCUUUUUCUACUGUUUAUUUAUUAUCUGUUUUGUUUCUUUUUCUCUUUUGUUCCUUUGUUAGUUUUAUCUUCUUGUUUAAAAUAUGCAUAUUUAUAUAUGUAAAUAUAUACAAUAUAAAUAUAUAAUAUAACACAUUAACAGUAGAGAAGUAAACACUUCAUGAUGCAGUCCUAUAGUCUUUAAAUUGUUUAGAAUUCUGAAGCUUUUUAUGUAUUAAAACCUGUGUCUUUCUUGAGUAGACACUUAUAGGAUUAGCCCCAGGACACAUAAAUUAAGUCUUCAGGGGAUCAUUUUUAUGUAUGCAAAACUGAGCAAUGAGGGCACCUGCCCAAUAUAUGCAGCCUUCUCUUGCUUGCACACAUACACAUCAUUUCCUUCUGCUCUUUUCUUACAUAGAUGAGAGAAAAGGUUUCUUUUGCAGACAUACAUACAGUGUCUUUUUCCAUUUAUGGAAGCAGACACUCAUAAUUUCAUAUGGAUGCAGUCUUUUUCCAUAAUAAAGGACAACCUUUCUUUCCCUUAAUUUCUUCAUACUCCUAAUAAUAUACAUAUGGUACAUAUGCACAUUCCUUGUGUGUCCAAUCACACUUGGCCAAUAAAAAAAUUCUGUGCACUUCAGUGGGAAAGGCAAAAAUAAGCUGACUUCAUGGUAACUUCAUGGUGCUUCAAGGCACUCCUGGUGUCUUGGGAUGAUGCCACCCACCUUCACUAAUGAAUUUUUGUCAACUGCUCUACAAAUCUUCAGAUGGAAGAUUUGUAGCAAAUCUUUUGAAUCAAAAGAUACUUUGCAGUGUAUCUGUUUUUCUCUUCUUAAAGGAUUUUCUGUUGUAUCUGGGGGGUGGGGGGGGAAGAGAUAGUGGGAGGCUAUGAUAUUGUUGAAAAUGGGAGAUGAAAAUGUUUGGAGCCCUCUCCCUGCCCCAUAAAGGUCCUUAGGGUUCUAAAGACAAUUGCCAAUAAAAUUCACAGCCCAAAGUACCCAUGAUGCUUGGGGGAGGGUAGUUUCCCACUGGUAAAUUACUUCAAUGAUAAGUAGAGGCAGCUGGACAAAAAACCUGUCCAGUAUGCAGAAAGAGGUAGAUCAAAGAGGGGAAAAUGUGCAUAAAAACUGUGUGUAAUGAAGAAUUGCAGACAUAGAUGGUGCAGAUUGUAAUGGUUUAAGGGGAAAAGACAAGGAGAAAACGUAGAAUGCUGCUGGACAACUUUGAAUAGGAAAAAAAAACCACCACCAGUUCUUUACUUUGUUGGGUUUGGAAGAGGACCAGGACCUAAUGGAGCUCUGAAACAGUGAAGCUAUGAACAGGUUUUUUUAAAAAAAAUCUUGGCAGCAGUGUCCUAUACCAACUGAAGACCCCAAACCAUUUUCAGAACUAUUAUUUCUAAUGCAUUAUUUAAAAAACCCACCUGUUUUACACGAGCAAACAAUAGAUUUAAGCUUAAUGUUAACCGCUUCAAUCUUGAUUGCAGAAAAUAUGACUUCAGUAACAAGAGUUGUUAAUGCUUGGAAUACACUACCUGACUGUGGUCUCUUCCCAAAAUCCCCAAAGCUUUAACCAAAAACUAUCUACCAUUGACCUCACCCCAUUCGUAAAAGGUCUGUAAGGGGUGUGCAUAAGAGCACAAACGUGCCUAGGGUUCCUGUCCUAUUGUUUCCUUUCGUUAUAUCCAAUUAAUAUAGUUAUUACAUACUCAUACUCAUAUAUAUGCUUAUAUCUUGUAUAAUUAUUUCAUGCUUAUACUUAUAUAUACUGUAUGACAAAAUAAAUAAAAAAUAAAAAAAUAUUUAUAGGGAAUUAGCUAGAGAAUUAUCAGUGCUAGUGUUAAUAUAACAGAACUGUGGCAUGUGAUACACGAGUCAUUUAAAAAGCUAUGAGUUGUUUAAAAGGUUCUUGGAGAUUGCAAGGUAUAUAUCAUAUCUUUUGGCAUUUGAAAAAUCCCUGACAUUUUCUUCAUAAAACUUUUUUAAAAUUGGAAAAUAGAGCAGUCAAUCAUGGGAAGCUUUGGUGAUAUGGUAGUAUAUGAUUUCUCCCAGCGCCACACUUUUUAUGUUUUUGAAAACCUAUUUAUUUACUUAUAUCAUUUCUAUACUGCUGACUCUCCAAGGUCUCUUGACAGUUUACAGAAAUUACUCAUGAAACAUAGAAACAUAAAAAAAAUCCUAUCCCUAGCAACAUCCAGCAUUCAGUAAUAACUCCCUUCUUUCUCAUCAUUAAAAGUUCUUCAAGGGUGUUAGGGAAGGCCGGAUCCUUGGAGAUAGGUUCCAGAAUACUAGAGCAUAUCUAGAAAAAAAUACCAAGUUGUAGCCCCUUUUUCUGAUUUCACUGGCAAGGAUGCUCAGUCAGCAUCCUUAUUCUGGCUGAAUAAACCAGACCAAUAAAUUUUAGCAAAAGCAGGCAGUUCUGUGCAUACUGAAGCACCAAGGUGUAAAGUUUAAAACAAGCAUUUCAAAAUGUACCCUGAAACCUACUGCCAGCCAAUGAACUGCUCAGAAAACCAGUUAUAUGGUGGCUCUCAAGCUUAUACAAAUGAGCCACUGCAUUUUGUACCCACUGCAGCAUUUGGGUAAGUCAAAUACAUUGCAGGAAUUGAUGCUCUAGGAAGGGCUGUAGCUGCUAUAUCUGGGCACAAAGAAUUCCACAUUUAUUGAUUCAUUUAGUACACUCACUAAAAAUGAGAGAAAGCAGCCUUAAUCUAAUAACUGUACACAAUGGGUCAAAUUUGGCCUUGUUUAAAUUCACUCAGUAAUCUUCAAAACAAAAAAUAUGUGAAACUGGGUUAGGUUUUGCAAAUGUAUAUUCACCAGCUUUCUACCUGUUUAAAUGAAACAGCUUUAUUUGCCAUUGAAAAAGAAUAGCUGUCCUGCAUAAAGACAUUAAUAAUUAAUUAAUAAUUAAAUUAAAUUAUAAGGCUGCCCUAACUGAACUUCCUAUUUGGAAGAGGUGAUUCAGGUGCAAAUGCAACUCAUUAAAGCAGUUGUAUCUAUUUCAGGACUAGGAUAUUGUGGAGAAAACCUUGCAGAUGGUCCUGAGUGUGUGUGUGUGAUUGCAUUAAGGAAUUGCAGUAUUGCAUUCUGAAGGGUUCCAAAACAUUUUACCACCAUAGCCUUCUCUCUCAGAUACUACCUUUCCAUGCACAAGAUGGAAAAAGCCAGGUCUUUAAAAAAGAUGUUCUCCACAGAAGAGGCAACCUGCAUAAGCAGUUUAAAAAUAAAGCAGCUAUUGAUGAAAGCUACUUUUUAAUGAAUUACAAGUAUGUUUGCUGGUGUUGGAAGAAAUGUCCUUUUGGGUUCAGUUCCAAGUGGGAAGACACUGGAAACGUGGAAGCUGUUUGGAAAGAUGGUUUAAUGGUGGACAGAACCACAUGGUUUGAGGUCCUGGGCAAUUGAGCACAUGGGAGAGGGAGAGAGAAAUUUAUACCCUCUCUUGGGCCCCGCAUUGGAGCUUCCUGUUCCUGUGAAAAAAAUGUAUUCUGAUUGGUUGUCAGACUCCCUUGGAGCCAUGCGGGCGUAACUUUGUAGGCUGUCUUGAGUCCUAGGCUUGGUUGAAUCUUGCUGGGUGAUGUAAUCUCCCCAGAUGCCAUGUGGUGAGUUCUAUUGCUAGAUAGGUAGAGGACUAAUCCUAUCAUGUCCUGACGGCCAUGUCUUAAUCCCAUCACCUGGGAGCUGAAUGGGGGUGGCAGGGAGCUGCUUUGUCUUUAAAACAUGUUUCUCCUUUUCUCAUCCAGGGAAAUAUCAUAUUCUGCCUUUUUAAUAUUUCCUAAAAUAUUUCAUUCUUCUAGGAGGGGGGUGGGUGCUAACUUUCUUGACUCAGUUUAGUGCAUUUUCUGUUGAUCUUGUUUAAUCUUACCAUGAGUUAUCCUUUAGGGCUAGUAGCUGGUAUUUCAUAAGCUAAGAGAUACUAUCAAUUUUGCCCAACCUUUGCAUAAUGCAUUAAUAAUAUGUAGGCUGUUUGGAAGUGUUCAACUCCUCAGUGCCAUGAGUUUUAGUUUUAAAGCUAAAUUACAAAAAAAUGUAAUUAUAAGUAAGUGUAUUAAACUCAGAUGGAUCUUUCUGUAUGGAAAGCUGUAUCUUUUGCAAGGCUGAAAAAAAAUGAUUCAGAAAUAGCAUGGCAUUGCCAUAGUUGUAUUGUUGCACGUAAAUGAUUUAAAACUUAGUGAGCCCCUUCAAUGGCUUUAUUGGCUAAGAAAUAAUUCUAUAGCGUUUUUCCCCUCUCCCAGUACUAACACAUCCUGGCUGCAUAAUUGCACAUUGCAAGUAUCUCCUGGAUGGCAAAAUUCUGGCAGCCGUUUUGAUCAGAGAUCUUACUUUUCAUAAAAUAGCCUGUGAGGUUUGUGGCAUGGAUACAACUAAGGCUGGGAACUAGUCUGCGCCUCUCUGAAUUACUUCAAAACCAAAGGGUGUAUGAAUGUGGAAUGUGGAAAAGAAUGGUGUACAGCUGUUUGAUAGAUUGUCAUUUAUUGGAUCUAGCAUAUCUAUAAAAUUUGUCAAACUUGGGGCAUUUUUAAAAAUAUAUUGAUAUUGUUUUUUGGAAAAUAUUUAUUUUAAGCAUCUUAGACAAUUUAAUCUAGUUUUCUAUUGAUAUAAUAGGUAGUUAAAAUUCAAUUAUUUAUGGUAAGAAUAUUAAAUAAAUAUUAUAUCUCUAGUAAUAGUCUAAGGAGGAUUCUUAUGUUGAUUUUUCUGACAGUAAAUAUUUUAAACAGUAGAGGAAAUUUUGAGUAGUUCGGAGAACCGGCAAAUACUGGCCCCAGAGUGGGGUGGGAAUGGAGAUUUUGCAGUACCCUUUCCCUGCCACGCCCACAGAACCAGUAGUAAAAAAUUUGGAUUUCACCACUGACAUGAACCCUCCUGUCUUGUGGGGAACUUACUUCUCCUUUCAACUUUUUUUCUGGAAUUAAAGAUUUCAAGAGCUAUAUGGAGCACUUAGGAACAGAAGUUUAAAUUUGACCUCUGUGCACAUAAAAAAAUGACACUUUGAGAUGAUCUGAAUUAAACAAUUGUAGACAAUUGCUGUAUUGUGCUAUACCAUACACUUUCCUUUUCCUUCCAUCCUAUUUAUGCAAAAAUGACUUUAAUGCUGUGGACCAGGUUAUUUUCAGUAACUUCUUCAACGUUUGAUGUAGUGCAAGAAGAAUUUAGAUUGCCCCAAACCUUCUAAAUGGCAAUAUAUUCAGUUAAAAUACAGUUUUGAUCUGCUAAUAACUUCUGAAACUCCUAAAUUACUCAUUGUGCUAAGUUUUAAACAUCUAAACAUAGUUUCUUUUUAUAGGCAGCUUAAAUAUAUAAUUAAGAUAGAUAUUAGAUGAAUUUGGAGAUACUGAGUUGGCAUAUCCUAUUUUAGAAAACAAUAGUCUUUGUGUUUUAAAGACUGUGAAAUAUAUUUGCCAUGACCCUGAGAUGCGAUUUCAGUAAUGAAUAAAAAGCAGGAGAACAUGUAGCAGAACAAGGAGAUGAAAAAGAAAGGCAUUUGGUUGACAAGUACUUUAUUACAAAACCUCAAUCCUGACAUUUCAAGUUAAAAUUUAAUUUUCAGAGAAUUGCUGAAGUAGGAAAAGCACUCAAAACAGACUGUAACUGAAUUGGAAUUCAGUUUUCUUUACGUCGUGAAAAGUCUGAUUAAUAAGAUUCAGAUUUGGCAAGAAUUCAUUUAGCUAAAAACCAAGUCAGUAUGAGCUGUAUAUGAUGGAAGUAAAAUAUGGAUAAGAUUUAAUGGAAUGCUUAGCAAAUGGUUCCAGAUUGACCAUGGAAUAAGAUACGGAUGUGUGGUGUUCUGACUUGUGCUUAUUUUGGGCAAAGAUAUCAAGAAUGCUUCUGGUGACAUUAAACGAGUAUUGCUCGGUAAUAUAAAUGUGAUAGUAUAAACUUUAGUAUGGAGACAAUGCCAUAUUGUUGACUAAGACUUCAAAUGACUUGCAAUAAACUUUAGAUGGCAUAGCGCAGUGGAGAAUAUCUAAAAAUUAAUAUAUCAAAGAACAAACAGAAAGGGUGUGGUGAUAUUCAGUUUUUUGCACAGAAUGUCAUUUGUGUCAUGGUUUCACUGCUUGGCAGAAAUUGUGUGUGUGUGUGAUUAAUGCAAUGAGUGCUUGGGUGUCAUCAAACUAAUUUGUUCCUGCAGGCCCAACGCAGUUGAAUUAGAGAAGCUGGGAGUGACCAUUUUGGGUGAAAUAGCAUUACCCCAAUCCACAAUGAUGAUGCCAUAGCAGUCAGGAGAAUGAAGCUUUCUACAUCCAGUGGAGUGGCAAAGUGGCAAAUGGACAAGAUCAGAUGCUAUUAAAGACAAAAAAAAAAUCAUCUUUCAAGAGGAAUCAGUGAGCAAUUCUCACCAGUUCUCACUACGAGACGCUACCAGAGAUCAAUGCUUUAUAACUUUGUAGCUGGUUUAUACAGUAUCACUACAGAGUGAUGAUAUAAAAUAGGGAGAGUGGUUUUAUCUGUUGGUGAUAUUAAGCUUAGAAUAAACAAUUGAAAAAGAAAGAUUGUGAAGUCCUCCAAAAGAGGCUAUUCGGAUGAAAUUAACAAUUCCAUAAUGGCAAAUAUCAUUCAAUGCAGACAAGCAUAAAAUAUUUAUGCUGACAUAAUAUUACUUUACCUGUAUGUUACUGGGUUUUAACCUUGCAGUAAGAAGGAAGAGGGAACUUGGAGUCAUGGUCAACCAUUUGAUGAAAAUAUCAACUGCUGUUAGAAAAGACAUGCAAAUUGAUGCUUGAAAUCUUUAGAAAGAAAAUGAACUUUGCAAUGUUAAAUGUGUCUAUGAAGAGAUAGGUAUCAUUUUGGUCACCCUUUAAAAAUAUAGAUUUAGAAGACAGGACAACCACAAUGUUCAGAAUUGGCGUAAAUCUCCUAUAAGGAAAACCUACAGCAACUGGGUUUCAUUAGUGUGGAAUGAAGAUGAGUAAGGGGAGGUAUACCUUAUAAGAUCAUGUAUGGCAUUAAUAACAAGAAAAUUUUCCUCCAUCUCUGACAGUUUUAGUGCUCGACGUAUCCAUUAGAUGAUUUUAAAAGAGUAUAGGUAAGGUCAACAGUGACCAAGCCAUCAAUGGCUAAUAAUACUCUUUGAUGUUUGCUAUGCCUGAAAAAUAGCAGGCUGUAAUAAUUGGUUGAUGGAAGGAAAAAUUAAAAUCCAAUUCAAUUUUGUGAACUUCCCAAUUGCACCCAGUUGGUCACUGAAUUAGUUGGACCUAUGGCCUGAACCAGGAUGGCUCUUCUCAAUUGCACCCAGUUGGUCACUGAAUUAGUUGGACCUAUGGCCUGAACCAGGAUGGCUCUUCUGUCCUUAUGUGUGCGGAACAAUUAUUUUCACAAAGAGAUAGGACAUUUAUAACAUUCAGGAUUGUCCUCUUCAUGAAACUCUCAGGUGUCUAAAUUUAGCCGGAAUUUUGGACGAUAACAUUAGAUUUACUGGCAGGAAUGAUUUUGAUACCAUCUGUUAUAUUGUCAGAUUUGAUAAAUAUGCUAUUCUUAAAAGUAUUUUUGUGCAAUGUUUACAAAAAGUGUUAAUUUGAUAGACCCUGAAUAUUGUAUCUUUCACUGCAUAAAAUUAAAGUUUUUUAAAAAUAUUAUUUAGGGUGAAAUCCAAGGUAAUAUAAAUGAAGGUUUAUUUGCAUAGCAGCAAUUUGCUGCCUGUUUGCCCGUGUUUCCUAAAUAUGCUCUGGAACCUUUUCUGUCACUUUGGACAAUAUCUGGAUAUGCAGAGAGGAAUGAAAUAUUUCCCCUCUCCAUGUUCCAUAGACAUAGUUCUGAAAACCCCCCAAAGAAUUUUAGUACUGGAUAGCAUUGUUAUUGGUUUCAUAAUAGUGAAUUGUGGUUCACAAUUUGUGAUUACCAUUAAUUUAGAAAAAAGUAAUGUGAACUGAAACUUUUAAAACAGACAGGUGUAAAAAUAAUUAGUCAAGAUAGUAGUACAUAAGGUUUCUGAUUUUAAAUCAAGGGGUACAUUAAAUCUUUGAUUUAAUAGACUCAGUUUAGCAGGCUUUGAUUUAAUGGAAUGAGUCUACUGUUUCAUGAGUUUUGUCCAAAUUUCAGGCAAUAACAGGUAUUGUUUUCCUAGCAGUGUUUGGUGCUUCCCCAGAAAAGUGUUUUUCGCUGUUAUCAAAUAAAGAUUUUUCAU